rnacentral:lncRNA from 1 species
CAAGAAAAUACACUUUUUGAAAGACUAAAAGAAGUGGCACUGUGCGUGUAAGGGAAGUCUGACAUAAUUGACCACAGUUUUGCAGUGGAAUGGAUGCAGGACUUCGAGACUUUCAGGAUGCCCUGAAUCAAGAGACUUCCUAUGUCAGUAACCUGACUCGUUCUGUGAGUUUAGUGUUGGAUGAAUUUUACAGUUCAUUGAAGUGACUGAGGAGAGUCAUGAAGAACCAGCCUUCAGAAACUUU